UGAGAAAAAAUAAUUUUUAUUGUACGAAAUAGCUGAAAAUUAAUAAAAAAUUGUAGAAAAUAAUAAAAUUGUUAAUUUUUUUAUGAUUUUAAACAUCUAUUCAAAUCACUUUUAGAUAGAAUUAUUUUUGCCGCAUUCGUGCGAGGUGGUUUACUCCACCAUUUGAAGGAACGCCAUUGUGAGCCAUAACGACUGUGGUGCAAGAUUUGAGCAAGAAUAAUUGAACAAGUUUACUAAAAAUGGCUCAAGAAGCUGAUGUACCAACUUUCAAAUGUGUGCUUGUCGGUGAUGGAGGUACUGGAAAGACAACAUUCGUUAAACGUCAUUUGACUGGUGAAUUUGAAAAGAAAUAUGUAGCUACCUUGGGUGUUGAAGUACAUCCUUUAAUUUUCCACACAAAUCGAGGGCCCAUUCGGUUUAAUGUUUGGGAUACAGCUGGCCAAGAGAAGUUUGGUGGUCUACGAGAUGGUUAUUAUAUUCAGGGACAGUGUGCUGUUAUUAUGUUUGAUGUAACGUCUCGGGUCACAUAUAAGAACGUACCCAAUUGGCAUAGAGAUUUAGUCAGAGUUUGCGAGAAUAUUCCAAUUGUUUUAUGUGGAAACAAAGUUGAUAUUAAAGACAGAAAAGUAAAAGCCAAAAGCAUUGUGUUUCAUAGAAAGAAGAAUCUUCAGUACUAUGAUAUUAGUGCAAAGAGUAACUAUAACUUUGAGAAACCUUUCCUCUGGUUAGCAAGAAAAUUAAUUGGUGAUCCUAACCUUGAGUUUGUUGCUAUGCCUGCACUUUUACCACCGGAAGUUACUAUGGAUCCACAAUGGCAACAACAGAUCGAGAAAGAUCUUAAAGAAGCUCAGGAAACCGCUUUGCCAGAAGACGAUGAGGACCUUUAGUUCAUUCAAUCGUGCGUAUGGCCUUUAAAAUGGCCUAUUACAAAUGCUCUACUAUCUAGUGCUUGAAAUUGGAGGAAACGGGCAUCAAUAAUGCAGUUUAAUUCUCAAAAACUAUUCCAAUUAAAAUUAUAUAAAAUGACAGUCUGUUUAAAGUAAAAUAAUUUCCUAUUUUUCUAAGUAAAUAUUAUUAAUUUGUUUAAAUUAUCACUAGUUUUUCCUUUAAAAUAAAAAGUUGUUCAGUAAUAAAAUAAUCAAUGAAAGUAUAUCACUGUAAGAAAUGGAAAAUUCUCAUUCAAAAAGUGUCAUGUAAAUUAUAGAAUUAAAUCACUUAGAAUGAACGCGAUAGAAACUAUCAAAAAGUGUGUUUGCUUUUGAAUGAACGUUUGAUGAUUUUAUUUGAUACAGCCAAUAUUGUAUGAUCAUGAUCAAUAAAAAAUAUAACUGAAAUAAAAA
rnacentral:misc_RNA from 1 species